rnacentral:rRNA from 1 species
CAGUCGCCGCGGUAAUACGUAGGUGGCAAGCGUUAUCCGGAAUUAUUGGGCGUAAAGCGCGCGUAGGCGGUUUUUUAAGUCUGAUGUGAAAGCCCACGGCUCAACCGUGGAGGGUCAUUGGAAACUGGAAAACUUGAGUGCAGAAGAGGAAAGUGGAAUUCCAUGUGUAGCGGUGAAAUGCGUAGAGAUGUGGAGGAACACCAGUGGCGAAGGCGACUCUCUGGUCUGUAACUGACGCUGAGGAGCGAAAGCGUGGGGAGCGAACAGGAUUAGAUACCCGAGUAGUCCCUGUCUCUUAUAC